CGAUACUGUCAUAAGCGAUCAACGGUUGCAUUUAAAUAUUAGGGUUAACAGCUGCUUUAAGUUUAAUCAUCCUAUCGAUAAUGUUAUCGAAAGAACUGACGAAAGAUACAAAAAUAUCAUUCGGGUAAUAAUCAAUGAUUCAGACGUGAGGAAAAUACCGUCUUUUUACAAUUUCUUAAUAUAGACAACAUUCAAUCGAAGAGCAUUGCACAACAUUUGUCAACAGUUGUUACAGUUACUUCAAAGUUCUUGGAUUGUUUAUUUGUUCUGGAAAUAUCAAAAUAUUAUGGACAAUGGCAGAAGCACAGAUAACAAUCUCUGAAGUUGUGAAACGCGAGUUACAGGAAGCUGUCUCAAGUGGUGGUGUUGCGAAAUUGAAAGAUCUAAUCAAUAAGAAAAAUAAUGAAUGGAAAAAGAUUCCUCUUAAUAUUGCAAUAACAGGCGAAUCUGGAGUUGGAAAGUCAAGCUUCAUCAAUGCGAUUCGUGGCAUAACUGCAGACGAUGACGGCGGUGCUCAUGUCGAUGUCGUUGAAGCAACUAGAGAAAUAAAACCAUACAAACAUCCUAAGAAUAGCAGCAUGGUCCUCUGGGAUCUUCCCGGAGUCGGGACACCGAGAUUUCCCAGGAGCUCCUUUCUGACACAAGUGAACUUUGAGAAGUUCGACUUUUUUCUUAUCCUCUCAGCUGGUAGAUUUAGAGAAGAUGAUCUUUGGUUGGCUCAAGAAAUCCAGAGCCUUAAAAAGAACUUUCAUUUUGUGCGCACGCAAAUGGAUGUUGAGGUGGAAAAAGAUAAGAAAGGGCAUCCAAAAACGCAUUCAAAAAGCAAGGUCAUCGAAAAAGUUAGAAUCGAUUGCCUAAAAAACCUCAAAGAGCAUGACCUCACAAAAGCGUCUGUAUUUCUGAUCGACAAUUACUCUCCAAUGGACUUUGAUUUUGAUGCAUUAACAAGAACGCUGAUCGAUGAAGCCCCGGAACACAAGAGAGAGGCAAUGAUACUUUCAAUGUCUGUUCUUACAGAUGGAGUUAUAGAAAGGAAAGUGGAAGCCCUCAAAGAGAGAAUUUAUAAGGUUUCUCUGCUCUCAGCGGUUGGUGGUGCAAUACCAAUACCUGGAGUAGGAGCUGCUCUUGAUGUGGCAAUAUUGGCUGAGGAAUUGAUCUUCUACAAAAGUCAGCUUGGACUAGACGCUGAGACAAUUGCAGAACACGCAAGAUAUCUAAACACAGAAACUAGGCAGUUACAGAAAAAAUUAGGCCUGCAAAGUUUUGGGCUGGCAACAACCGUUAAAGGCCUUACACAAAGUGUUUCAAGUAUAGCAGCUUCUGAAACGAUUGAAAGUACACUUGCCUUGGCAAUCCCGGUUAUAGGCAGUAUUAUAUCUGCGGGGAUUUCAUAUGGAGUAUCAGUUGCGAGUCUGAAGUAUUUUCUGGGUAUUUUGUCAGGAGAUGCCCGAAAGAUAAACGAGGAACUGCUGAAAAAGUCACUGCAAUAAGUUGAAUGAAGUCUCUAAGAUGCAUAGUACAAUGUACUAGUAUAACAUUUCAAAUAACAUUAUUUACACAACAGAAAACUGUUAUUUAUUGUACUGUUCAAGACUCAGUUUCUCAGUAACCACACGUCUUGGUCAAUGAUACUUCAAACUUGUCUUUGACAUCAUAAUCUAAUAUUAUGAACUAAGUUUAUGAUUUUGGCAUGGCAUUACUUUGAUAAAAGUAUCUUCUUUAGCAAACGCCUGUUUCUGUGUCGUUCUUCAAAAUUGUUUGUCAAUUCAUACUAGGAAACUGAAGGGUGAAUAAACAAAUGCUCCUCAUGCA
rnacentral:misc_RNA from 1 species